rnacentral:tRNA from 1 species
GCCUUCUUAGCUCAGUGGUAGAGCGUUGGUCUCGUAACUCCUAGUAAACCAAAGGCCGAGAGUUCAAUCCUCUCAGAAGGCA